rnacentral:miRNA from 12 species
ACCUGCUUCCAUUUAAGUCAAUG